UCUUCUAUUCCUAUGAUCAAUCUUAUUGUGAGCAUGUUCUUUCUCUUCUGCUGAUCUUUGUUAAAACUGUUUCGAUCCAAUCAAUCGUAUUUUUAUUUAUUUUCAUGACAGUUGAUUAUAAACUAUUUUCUCGAUCAUCGGAUCUUUGGUCUGAGAUUUUUAUAUUGCUCGAUGGAUUGUUGAUUAGAUCUGAGUUAACUUGUUGUAUGUGAUCUUAAUAGUUGAUUUGUGAUGUGAUUGGGUAAUUCUGGAGCAGCAUAACAAAUCCAUAGUUUUCUUCUUCUUGAUACAUAAGAUGGAAGCUACAGAUGUUAAGGCUAGGUGUAUUCAUUGUUCUGGAUUGACUAGUUGUAAGACUAAAGAUGGUGUCACAACUAGUGCAAUGGGAAAACACAUGAGAAUAUGCAAAAUGAUGCCUCGGGAACUACCUGAUGAUACGUUAAUAUCAUAAAAGGCAUCCUUCUGGACGUCUUGUUGAUGCUAAUGAAGACUACGAAGCACGCCUGAAGGAGGAACCAGUUAUUGCGUUCAGUGGAGAGGAAGGCAAUGGUCGGUACUUGGACUUGCAUGAGUACAUCAACUCUAAAUUUGGGGAAAGGGUUGAAUACCGCGAUAAACUGAAGUUAUCGAGGCAAUACAGGAAGUAUAUGGAAGCUCUGCUAGAGUACUUGGUCUACUUUUUCCAGCGAACCGAGCCGUUGCAAGAUCUUGACCGGAUACUUUCUAGCCGUUGCAAGAUCUUGACCGGAUACUUUCUAGCCGUUGCAAGAUCUUGACCGGAUACUUUCUAAGGCAAUACAGGAAGUAUAUGGAAGCUCUGCUAGAGUACUUGGUCUACUUUUUCCAGCGAACCGAGCCGUUGCAAGAUCUUGACCGGAUACUUUCUAAGCCCUUAAGAUCGCCUUCCACAAAUGCUUAAUGGAAGCUAUGUCGAGUCAUAGCUGCGCCAAAUCGAAUUUUAUUUAGGGUUUUUAAUUAGGGUUCUCCUAAGUACUAACCCAGUUUUUCCCUUCCUGAUUUAGUAUAGCUCGAGGUUUUUUUCGGCAUUAGAAUCUGGAAUUAAGGUCCUCGCUUGCCAACUCUUCAGAUAAUAUUAUUGCAUCUUCAAGCCAAAUCCCAAAUUCUAAAAAAUUAGUUCAGUGUUCUGCAAAACUUUUUUGUGACAAUAAAUCUGCUAUACACAUAGCUACAAAUCCGGUGUUUUAUGAGCACACCAAUCAUAUAGAGAUUUAUUGUCACACCACAAGAGAUCAUGUCAAGAAUGGAUUUCUGAAGUUGUUUCAUGUUACAACUGAGAAUUAAAAUGCUGAUAUUUUGACUAAAGCUAUCUUCUUCAAUGUAUGUCCAUUUCAAACCUCUUUUCACCUGACCACAGUUCUGUUUCAGAGGCUUGAGGGGGGUGUAUUGGAGUAUAUUUAGAUAAUUGGGUUUGUUAUCACCGUUUAGAUUAAUUAUACUUGUAUAUAAACAACAUUAAAUGGGGCGGAUCUACCUUAGUAUAUAUGGGGGCAGUUGCCACCCUUAAAUUUUUGAAAUCUUUUGAGAAUUUUAAAGAAUUAAUUUAAUUGCCCCACAUAGGAAAUCUCUCUUGCCCCCGUUAAAUUUGUGUUUUCCAAAAAUCUCUCCUCACGUUAACUUAAAAAGAAGGUAAAUGAAUAUUGUAUAUCUCUUAUCCCCUUUAAUUUAGCUAAAUAGUAAAUAUCUUACAAAUUUAAAUCUAAAUGUAACAACUUAACCUAAAUGCAUAGACAAUAACAUCUAUUACCCUUUGAAUAAACUCAAAAUUUAAUGUUUAAAAAUUUGGUCUCUUCCGAAUACUUUAGUGGUUUAUAAUUAUAGUUAUGGUAAUGUUUUAGAGUAUUUGCACCUCGUACCCUAAGACUACAAAACAAUUAAGUCAAAGGAUAUGUGGCAAAACUGUAAAUAAGACUUCUUCUAGAAACAGGGCAAAAAGACGAAAUUACCCUAACCACAUCAUCAUCUUUUACGCAUUCUCUCCUUCAACCAUCUCUCGUCAAUGGCUUCCUUGCUCUAUCUCCCCGCCCACAGAAACCCAGCACCAUCUACCGCCUCUCCGUCACCGGCAACAUUUCUCCCCAAUUCCGAUCUAUUCCCUCCUCUUUGAAUCGCCAUUAUCGGAUUUGGCAACUACAGUCAAUUCCUCGCCGAAACCCUAAUUUCUCAAGGCCACAUUCUCUUCGCUCACUCCCCAUCCGAUCACUCCUCCGCCGCUCGUCUUCUCGGUGUCUCACUCUCUUCGUUGAUGUUCUCUCUGUUAAAGAGUUUGCUAAAAGUCUUCUUUUCCAAUACUAACAUGUAAAUUUUGAUUUUUUUUGUACACAUCCAAUAUUUGGUCUUUAGAGUGUGAAUUCAAAUCAUGGUUGGAGAAGAUUAAGAGUCGUGUAUGAUAAAGUUAAGAUUGCGGAAGAAAAAUUGUGAAUUUCUAAGGGGAUGGUGGCGAGACGAAAAUCGGAGAAAGAGUAGUGGAUGGUGGUGAUGUGCCAUUUUUUCUCUUUUGGAGGGUAUUUUCGUCCGAAAGUUUAUGGUGUGCCAGUUUCUCUCUCUUGUUUUGCAAACAAAAAAACUUGUGUAUGUCACACCUAAUUAUUUUUCAAAUAAUUGCUAUGCAGCUAAUUGACUCAA